UAGUGUUACAGCUCUUUUAGAAUUUUGUCUAGCAGGCUUUCCGGUUUUUGCCGGAAAGCCCAA
ensembl:snRNA U7 U7 small nuclear RNA